ensembl:lncRNA
UAGCACCCCACUGUAUUUUGUUGUCAUCUUUUGUCUCCAGUAGCUGUUGGAAGGAUUUGUGCGGUUUCAAUCAGAGGAAUCUUAUUAACACCUAAAUUAAUGAUUCCCUGAACUAUUCAAAAGAAAGAAUUCCCAAAAUAGGAGCACUAAGUAAAGAGGAAAACCACAACUUUUUUCAUUUGAGGGGUCUCUACUUGAGAUUUUCUGUAAGUGAACCGUGUUAUCUAAAGUUUGCUUCAAAGUGUCUAAUUGCUGUAAACUCACAUGUAAGGUCACUAUGAGUGGGUGCACUUAGGAAAACAACCACCGUCAGUGUCUCCAUUCAAAGUGAUCUUGAUAUGAAACAUAGAACUCAAUUUGAUAGACAUAACAUGAAGGGUCAGGUAGAAUUUGUAGCAGUUGUUGUGUACAACUGGUCCAAGCACUUACUGAAUUCAAGAGACAAGUUCUUGCAUGAGUUGGACCAACAAUACAGACUUGUAAUGAAUGCUCUUCCUUACCAGUGAGUCCGGAAGUUCUUUUGGAAUAUCCUGUGUUGUCUGUGUUUCCAAAUCCAUGAGGGAUACCUGGACAUGAGUCUCCUUUUAUAUGAACUCAAGACUCCUCUUGCUCCAUCCACAUUUAAGUCAAUGACAUUAAGUCAUGAAACCAAUGGUUGGCUAACGACUGUAGUAGCGUCCAUUUGUAUUUUGGUUUCCUCUUUUGUCUCCAGUAGCUGUUGGAAGGAUUUGUGCGGUUUCAAUCAGAGGGAUCUUAUUAACACAUAAAUCAACGAUUCCCUGAACUAUUCAAAAUAAAGACUUCCCCAAAUAGGAGCACAAAGAAAAAAGGAAAACCACAAGUGUUUUCAUUUGAGGGGUCUCUACUUGAGAUGUUGUGUAAGUGAACCGUGUUAUCUAAAGUUUCCUUCAAAGUGUCUAAUUGCUGUAAACUCACAUUCAAGGUCACUUUGAGUGGGUGCACUUAGGAAUACAACCACCAUCAGUGUCUCCAUUCAAAGUGAUCUUGAUAUGAAACAUAGAACUCAAUUUUUUAGAUGUAAUCAGGUAGAAUUUGUAGCAGUUGUUGUGUACAACUGGUCCAAGCAAAUGCACUUACUGAAUUCAAGAGACAAGUUCUUGCAUGAGUUGGACCAAUAAUACAGACUUGUAAUGAAUGCUCUUCCUUACCAGUGAGUCCGGAAGUUCUUUUGGAAAAUCCUGUGUUGUCUGUGUUUCCAAAUCCAUGAGGGAUACCUGGACAUGAGUCUCCUUUUAUAUGAACUCAAGACUCCUCUUGCUCCAUCCACAUUUAAAUCAACGAGAUUCAAUCAUGAGACUAAUGGUUGACUAACGACUGUCGUAGCACCCCACUGUAUUUUGUUUUCCUCUUUUGUCUCCAGUAGCUGUUGGAAGGAUUUGUGCGGUUUCAAUCAGAGGCAUCUUAUUAACACAUAAAUCAACGAUUCCCUGAACUAUUCAAAAAAAAAAAAAAAAGAAUUCCCCAAAUAGGAGCACUAAGUAAAGAGGAAAACCACAAGUGUUUUCAUUUGAGGGGUCUCUACUUGAGAUUUUCUGUAAGUGAACCGUGUUAUCUAAAGUUUGCUUCAAAGUGUCUAAUUGCUGUAAACUCACAUGUAAAGUCACUUUGAGUGGGUGCACUUAGGAAAACAACCACCAUCAGUGUCUCCAUUCAAAGUGAUCUUGAUAUGAAACAUAGAACUCAAUUUGAU